rnacentral:rRNA from 1 species
AGAGUUGAUCCUGGCUUAGGAUGAACGCUAGCGGCAGGCUUAACACAUGCAAGGUCGAGGGGCAGCGUGGAGUAGCAAUACUCUGACGGCGACCGGCGAAAGGGUGAGUAACGCGUGAGCAACAUGCCCGGUAGUGGAGAAUAGUCGAUGGAAACGUCGCGUAAUACUCCGUAACACAGAGAACCGCAUGAUUUUCUGUUAAUAGAUUUAUCGCUACCGGAUUGGCUCGCGUACCAUUAGCUAGUUGGCGGGGUAACGGCCCACCAAGGCGACGAUGGUUAGGGGUUCUGAGAGGAAGGUCCCCCACAUUGGAACUGAGACACGGUCCAGACUCCUACGGGAGGCAGCAGUGAGGAAUAUUGGACAAUGGCCGAGAGGCUGAUCCAGCCAUGCCGCGUGCGGGAAAGACGGCCCUAUGGGUUGUAAACCGCUUUUGUUGGGGAGCAAUAAGGUCCACGUGUGGAUCGAUGAGAGUACCCAGCGAAUAAGCAUCGGCUAACUCCGUGCCAGCAGCCGC